rnacentral:rRNA from 1 species
UGGGGAAUAUUGGACAAUGGGCGAAAGCCUGAUCCAGCCAUGCCGCGUGUGUGAAGAAGGUCUUCGGAUUGUAAAGCACUUUAAGUUGGGAGGAAGGGCAGUUACCUAAUACGUAAUUGUUUUGACGUUACCGACAGAAUAAGCACCGGCUAACUCUGUGCCAGCAGCCGCGGUAAUACAGAGGGUGCAAGCGUUAAUCGGAAUUACUGGGCGUAAAGCGCGCGUAGGUGGUUCGUUAAGUUGGAUGUGAAAUCCCCGGGCUCAACCUGGGAACUGCAUUCAAAACUGACGAGCUAGAGUAUGGUAGAGGGUGGUGGAAUUUCCUGUGUAGCGGUGAAAUGCGUAGAUAUAGGAAGGAACACCAGUGGCGAAGGCGACCACCUGGACUGAUACUGACACUGAGGUGCGAAAGCGUGGGGAGCAAACAGG